rnacentral:rRNA from 1 species
CAGCCGUAAACUAUGCGCGUUAGGUGUACUGGUGACCACGAGUCACCGGGGUGCCGAAGGGAAACCGUGAAACGUGCCGCCUGGGAAGUACGGUCGCAAGGCUGAAACUUAAAGGAAUUGGCGGGGGAGCACCACAACGGGUAGAGCCUGCGGUUUAAUUGGACUCAACGCCGGAAAUCUCACCGGAUAGGACAGACAUAUGAUAGUCGGGCUGAAGACUCUACUUGAUGAUCUGAGAGGAGGUGCAUGGCGUCAGUG